rnacentral:lncRNA from 1 species
AUGUAUCUUCUUCCAGCUGUAAUCUCCCUUUCUAUUUUUAUGUUGUAUUUUGGAGCACAGGCAUUGGAUAUUUCAGGAGGAUUCCCACUGUGGGAGAUUUUCUUCUGAUCGAAUCACACUACAUCUGAUAAAGAAAGAUGUUUCUAAGACAUGUUUGAACAUCAAAGUUAAGAAUCCCAUAAAGAGGCAGAGGAAGAUAUGGUAAAAUAAAAGUUAACCAAAAAGAACGAGAACCACAAAAGAAGUAAGUGGAAUGAUAUUUGGAACAAGU